CACUGUCACUACCAUUAUUACCAUCACCAUCAUUACCAUCGCUAUCACCAUCAUACCACCAUCACCAUCAUCACCAUCACUAUCACCACCAUCACCAAUCAUCACCAUCACUAUCACCACCAUCACCACCAUCACCAUAAUCAUCAGCACCAUCACCAUCACCCAUCACCAUCACCACCAUCACUAUCACCACCAUCAUCUUCACCACCACCAUCAUCAUACCAUCACCAUUAUCAUUGCCACCACCACCAUCAUCAGCAUCACCAUCACAUCAUCAUCACCAUGUUAAGUAAGCACUUUGCCUAUGUUAACUGAUUUAAUUCUCGUAACAACUUCAUAAUGUAGGGGCAAUUAUUAUCCCAGUUUUACAAGUGAGAAAGUGGGACCUCAUAAGAUUAUGUUUUGUGCCGAGGGUAACAGUGACAAGAAUCUAAACCUGGGCAGGGUCCUUUGGUUGGUUUUGUUUGUUAUGUUGUUGACCAACGUGCAAGACCAUAUCUGCUCCUGCUAUUCAUAAAUUUCAUCUUUUAGUCAGCACUUUAUCCUUAUUUUACACUAUCUUUUGGAUUCCUGGUUCUGUCAUCCCAAGUGUAUCUGCCUCCUAGCUUCAUGCUGUCUGUCAUAUUGUGAGAAAAAUAUGUAUCUUCACCUAGAUCAUGCACAAGGUCAGAGGCCAUGCAGCAAUUCCCUACAGAUUCUGCUCACUGAAGCCCGAUGGUGCACAUCUCCUGAAGCUCCCUGAGCCUGUAGUCUUGUAACCCACUCAGAGAAGCCUAGGGAGUGGUCGGACAUGAUUUGUUUUUGAACAUAUUUGUAUUUGGUUCCUGAGAAUCACGUUUCCUCCUCACUUUCAGGUUUCCAUUCCAGAAUCUUUUCCAAGAUGGACAGCUCCCUCCAAAUUUAUAGUUGCUGAAAUCAAUUCUCUGGGCAGGGUCAGAUGCAAGGAACAAAUAGAAAACAGGGCCUGCAGAACACACAUCCCAGAGGUGAUAAUGACCGGUUAAUCCCUG
rnacentral:lncRNA from 10 species